rnacentral:tRNA from 1 species
GCCUGGGUGGCUCAGUCGGUUGAGUGUCCGACUUCGGCUCAGGUCAUGAUCUCACGGUUUGUGGGUUCGAGCCCCGUGUCGGGCU